UACGUAGGAGGCGAGCGUUAUCCGGAAUCAUUGGGUUUAAAGGGUCCGUAGGCGGUUUAAUAAGUCAGUGGUGAAAGCCCAUCGCUUAACGAUGGAACGGCCAUUGAUACUGUUAGACUUGAAUUAUUAGGAAGUAACUAGAAUAUGUAGUGUAGCGGUGAAAUGCUUAGAUAUUACAUGGAAUACCAAUUGCGAAGGCAGGUUACUACUAAUGGAUUGACGCUGAUGGACGAAAGCGUGGGGAGCGAACAGG
rnacentral:rRNA from 1 species